AAAUUCCUACGAUUUCCAUAUGCUACCGAUUUGCUACGCCUCCUAAAACCCAAAUUGUUUCCCGCUUCACUAUUCGUAACUAGCUCGUCGCAAACAAAGCCCUAGCUUACACCAGCGAUUGGCAAUUUCCGAACCAGCACACAUCCGCCGGUGAUUCUCGACUGAUACGUACAUCGGCGACAUUUUUUGGUUUGCCAACCAACCAUCGUUGUCGCACACCACCGCCGACGCUGCCCCGUAUCACCACCGUCGCUGCACCAUACCACCACCGUCGCUGCCCCACACUACCAGCGGCGACACCCCAGCACACAUCCACCGGUGAUUCUCGACUGAUUUCAAGCAACCAAUUCGAGUUUUGUGAUUUCCGAACUCUGAUUUCAGCUCAUAUCGGCGACCCACAUUGACCAAAACGGUUGUAGGUUUGCCCUCCAACGUCGCUGUCGCACACCACCGCCGAUGUUGCCCCGUACCACCACCAUCGCUGCACCAUACUACAACCGUCACUGCUCACACCACCAUCAGCGACACCCCAGGUAAAUGAGUUGCGACAACAAGUGUCAAACAUGCAACAAGCCAUGGAUGAAAAGCAAAGUGAAAUGAAUUUGCAAAUGCAACAAAUGCGAAAUGAAAUGGAAUUGCAAGUGCAAUGACAAUUGGCAGCCUUUAUGAAACAAAUCAAUCCGUCCGGUAAUCCACCAAGUAGUUCUUAGUUUUUGUUUUAGAACACUAAAUUAAUGUUAUGUUAUUGACUAAUUCGUAGCUUUUGUCAUGGUAUUGUAAUGGUAUUUGAAUGUAUGAAUGGUAUGUUAAUGACUAUUUUAAUUGUAAUGAAUGUAAUGGUAUUUGACUAUUAUUUUAAUUA